GCCUGUAGUCCCAAUUAUUUGGGAGGCUGAGAAAGGAGGAUCACUUGAACCCAGGAGUUCUGGGCUGUAGUGCACUAUGCCCAUUGGAUGCCUGCAAUAAGUUCAGCAUCAAUAUAUUGACCUCCUGGUAGACAGGGACCACCAGGUUGCCUAAGGAGGGAUAAACUGGCACAGGUUGGAAAUGGAGCAAGUCAAAACUCCUGCACUGAUGAGUGGUACGAUUGCACCUGUAAAUAGCCAAAGCAAUGUAGCCUGGACAGCAUAGCAAGACCCCAUCUCUU
ensembl:misc_RNA Metazoa_SRP Metazoan signal recognition particle RNA